UCUCUCUAUAAAAUGAAUAAAAUGUUUAAGAAAAAAAAAGAGUUCGAGACCAGCCUGGACAACAUGGUGAAAUCCCAUCCCUACAAAGCGGGGUCUUGUGACCUUUUAUCUUGUGCUGACCUCCUGUCUCAUCCUGUGACGAAGGCCUAACCUCCUGGGAAUUCAGCCCAGCAGGUCUCUGCCUCAUUUUACCCAGCCCCUGUUCAAGAUGGAGUCGCUCUGGUUGGAAACUUCUGACAAAAUGACAGCUCCUGUUAUGUUGCUGCUGCUGCCGCCAAUGGACAGCCUUUAACGUGCCCGCCAGCCCUGCUCCACCGCCGGCCUGGGCUCACAUGGCCCCAUCCCUCCUCGAACCUCCUAGCCUGUUAGUUACUCAAAUCUGCAAGCUCUCUGCCUUCUCAGGGCCUUCAAUAAAUGCAUUUCUUCUGUCUGGAAGGCUCUUCCUUUCCCUCUUCUAGCCAAUUCCUAUUCAUCCCUGAGUUUCAGAUUAAAAGUCACUUCCUUUGGAAACCUUACUUCGCUACUUCGCUACUUACUGCA
rnacentral:lncRNA from 10 species